rnacentral:rRNA from 1 species
UUAGAGUUUGAUCCUGGCUCAGGAUGAACGCUGGCGGCAGGCUUAAUACAUGCAAGUCGAACGGUAACGACCGGUAGCAAUACUGGGGCGACGAGUGGCGCACGGGUGCGUAACGCGUAUGCAACCUACCCUCAACCGGGGCAUAACGCCGAGAAAUUGGCGCUAAUAUCCCAUGUGUAUAUGGAGUGGCAUCUCUUCAUAUAUAAAGAUCCGUUGGUUAAGGAUGGGCAUGCGUAACAUUAGCUAGUUGGCGGGGUAACGGCCCACCAAGGCGACGAUGUUUAGGGGUUCUGAGAGGAUUCACCCCCACACUGGAACUGAGACACGGUCCAGACUCCUACGGGAGGCAGCAGUAGGGAAUAUUGGGCAAUGGAGGCAACUCUGACCCAGCCAUGCCGCGUGAAGGAAGACGGCCCUAUGGGUUGUAAACUUCUUUUGCCGCAGAGUAACCGCGGGGACGAGUCCCUGCCUGAGAGUAUGCGGCGAAUAAGUAUCGGCUAACUCCGUGCCAGCAGCCGCGGUAAUACGGAGGAUACGAGCGUUAUCCGGAUUUAUUGGGUUUAAAGGGUGCGCAGGCGGACCGUUAAGUCAGGGGUGAAAAGUUGGGGCUCAACUCCAAUCGUGCCUUUGAUACUGGCGGACUAGAGUGCAGGGGACGUGACUGGAAUGUGAUGUGUAGCGGUGAAAUGCUUAGAUAUGUCACAGAACGCCGAUCGUGAAGACAGGUCACGAAUCUGCAACUGACGCUCAUGCACGAAAGCGUGGGGAUCAAACAAAAUUAGAUACCCUGGUAGUCCACG